rnacentral:lncRNA from 1 species
UUUUUUUCUUUUUUUUUUUUAGGGCUGAAUAAUCAAUCAACAAAGCUUUACUCUUAUGCCCAUAAUAACUUGGUCAAAAAGAGGUGGAGGUAUCAGAAUUUUAUGCGUAUCGUCUUUUCUUUUACAGGAAAUGACACGAUUUGUCACUAAAUUAUUUGUAGUUCCCUGUUUUGGUCAUCCAACUUUUUAUUUGGUCAAUAUGGCUAUUCAACAAACUAAAACAUAUUUUCUUUAGUUUGACCCAAAAAAAAAAAAAACUAACUCAAACAUAUUUCGUGUGACAAAAAAUGUAUAUUUUCUUUAGUUGAGUGACCAAAGUAUAAGAUUUUAUUAAUUGAGUGAUGAAAAAAAAUACAUUGUUUUGUUAAUUGAAUGAUAGUCCAAACUCGAUGAGUAGAUACAAAAUAAAGGAGAUGAGCCCACUAUAAAUUUCAAAUAUUCUCAUCCAUCCCUUAAUUGAGAAAACUUUAACGAAGGAAAAAAAGAUAGUCCUAGCUAAAUAAAAACUUUAGUGACCAAAUUAGAAAAUUCUGAAUAAUUUAUUGCCUCUUUUUGUCAUUUUCUCUUUCUUUUAUUUAGUUUUGCUGUGUGCGUAGCAGCCUCAGAAUACAGCAAAAGUGGGGAAUGAUUAGAGUAUAUAUUAGGUGGGAUAAAGUCUCUCAGUUUUGCUAUUUCGUUUGUUUAUGAUGUGUGGGCGAAUUUUUAGUAGUGGGAAUGCACUGUCAGCGUUGAAUGAGUAACAACUAUACAAAUUUGAAAUUCAAAAUUCAAUUUUUACAUAUAUAUCAUAGAUCCAAUAAUGAAAGUGUAUACACUAUCAAUAUAUAUAAGAUUUAUUUUUAAUUAUUUAUUUAUUUAAAUUAUAUUGUUCCCAUAUGCAUGUCAGCAGGCGACGGCAUACACUUUGUCAAAGGAAACGAACCCCUUGACAUCUCUUAAAAAUCUUUUAGUCCCUCUAGUGCACAUAUUAAUCCAAUUCCAAAAAUUCCCAUAAUCUGAAAGGCUUUCCAUUUACCACAAUAAUACAACACAGUAUAUCAUUUAUGCUACAUGAGUAUUUCUGUCCCUAAGUUGCAAUGAGAUAUUCAUUUUUCUGUCCCUAAAACCCAACUGAGGUAGUAACAGACACUGAAUUUCUCUUAAACAGCCACAAAAAAAAAGGUACUUGGCAUUUCUUACCUUUUCCAAUGGACACCAACAGAAUAUUACUGGUUUGUUGCCGACUUCAACAGUUUGCUGCCAUGCCAAAUUACAUCAGCAGAUGAUAAGACUUGAUCAACAAGGAGCUCCAUGAGAUAAGAGAGAUUCGGCACAUGGAUUGUAAUGCUUUCAAAGAAUUGAUACAAUUGAAAUGCAAAUUCCAGCCGCAGCAAUUCAAGAAUUUUGACGACUUCUUGUAAUACAUACAGCCAUCUCUUCCAAAAGCUAAUUGCCACAAUGUAAAUGAUACUGAGAAAAAGAUCAUAUCCUAUUGACCGCUAUACUGACAAAGAAACCCAACAGAGCACCAGCAAUGACUUCAAUCUCUGUGUGGCCAACAGAUUCUUUCAGUGGGGUGCAACCAAAAGGAAUGCUUUCUGAGUCUCCUUUCACGAUUGGCAUUCUCCAAGUUCUGUUUUCAGAUUUAAGCAGCAAUGGAGCAUUCGGUACUCUUGGUUGAGAAGAUCUAAAUUUGCGCAACGAGCUGGCGUCAAAGGUUUCUAUAUUUGUAGAUACUUCUUCUGGAAAAUAUUCAGUAGAAUCAUUAACAUCACAAGAGGAAAAUGACUCUACUUUGUUUCUGAACAAAACCCUGUUUAACACUUUUGCUUGACUUCCCACUUCCCUUCUAACACCCUACAAACGCCAAAAUAGACAGGUGAGAUCAUAUGCCCCUGCACUGACUCCUAAGAUAUAUAAGAUCACAAUUUCCCUGAAUUUGUGACGAAUUGCAAAUCGAUCAAAUUAACAUGGGCAAUUCUUACAAUCAUGAGGUCCAAAGAUCAAUUUCAAUAUAUACAGGAACCAAUGCCAAUCUUAACUGAACCAUACCAUCCAAAAAUGUAUUACUGGAAGCCGUGUCAUGAUCACAUAUUCUACAAAAGAAAAAGGAAAAGGUACACUUCAUGCAAUAUCAGGUUAUGUUGAGAAUAAGUAGUUAUUAUUAAUUGAAAUAUACAAGGCACAAGUGCCUAAAAGCUGAUUAAUAGUUCUGAUGAAGAACCUUUUCAUCUUGACUGUGUCAUAGAAAAUGUGGUUUUAUCACUCUCUGGAACUAAAUCAUUCUGAAAUGAGGAGGAGCUGCCUCUAGGGCUACAUAAUAAUGCUCCAAAACACUCUUCAGGUCAAGGCACAUUCAUUGUCAUGAAACCGACUUAUAUACAUAUGAAGGGCAAAUUAGCACAUGAACAUUAAAAUUUAUGAAUGUUAAACAGAUUAAAUAUGGGAUAGAAAGAUCGUGGUCAUGUCCCUUGAACCAUAUUAUGGCAUCUACUUAUUAACAAAUUCAACACUCAAAUGGUGAAUGCAGCAGAAUAUAGCAUUACAUUGUUUUUGCUUUGUUAAUAGUAUAACUUAAUUUUUCCAACUACAUAAUUUUGUUACUGGAAGCAAAAUAAUUGUAGCAUAUGAUAGACUUGGCUAAAGUUGGUGAAGAACAAAUACAGGAAAUCUUAAGAAGUCGGUCUUGACAAUUUAAGGUUGUAUAAGUCAUAUCACUCAGUAGCCUCUAGAACACAAACUGUGGAAAUCAAGAGUGUCAAAGAAGAAUUUUGAUUUAUGAGAAAGUUGAAAGAAAGGUGAAAAUAGAGGUUGAGAUAAUAUGAGGGACCUUGAAAUCAAACUUAAAAAUGUCAACCAUAACAUCUUUAACUAAACAAAUAUUGUAAGGUCGCAGAGAAUGUACUUGGCUACUGCACCAACCUCUAGUAGAUUCAGUCACACACAAGCAGCAUUUGAAUACUUUCAGGAGCCUCUAGGCAUCUCUCAAUCAAGUUGGAGAGUCACUUUAAUCAUUUUUCUGAUUCUGUUGUUGCUUUUCAUGGUACAACAUAUAGAUGAAAUGGGGCCUUAGCAUAUCAUGGAAGUGUUUUUCAAAUACAAUAAAAAUUUUUAAAAAGUACUCUAAAAGGUAAUCUAAAAAUUAGUUUAAAUUUUUUUAAAAUUUUAAAAAAUAUCUCAAAAUAUAUACUAGAAACUCUUCUACUCUUAAAUAUCCCAAAAUAUUUUCUAAAAAUAUCCCAAAAUAUAAUAUAAAAACUCUACUACAGCAAAAUUUUUCAAAAACACCCCCAAAAACAGCUAAUCCAAACGGUCCCUUAAUUCCAUCAAACUGAAUAAAGUGUUCGUUUUACUUUGCCCAUAUAAAUUCAAAUAGCACAAUAUGUAGAUUUCACCAGGUCUCCUUAGCCAGAGCAAUCUUACCACUGUGGCUAUUGCAGGCCGGAAUUGUCUCUGUUCUUAUAUCUGCAUCCAUGCUUCUUAGUUUGCCAGCACGCCAUGUGCAGCAUGGAGUAAAGUCUCAGAUAUGGCUUUCCUAGGCAUUUCUAUUUCACCAUUCAGGUAACACCGUUAAUUUUUUUUGCAAUUUGGCUGCAGUGGACUAAAAAUGCUUUUGUCAGGACAUUCUCCUAAAAACCACUCCAAACUAAUGGAACCCUGCCAAACAUGCAUAGGAAAAGCUCAGAUGGCGCAAAGCCCCAGCCCAGAAACAACGAGCUGGACCUAAAUCAUUGUCCAUCACUAUUAUCCCCACGCAUUCAAUGUGGAUUAACUCUCAGAGGUGUAAUGAAAGCUUUAACCCUGUAAUUUGUGCCCAGCAGCCUCAUAUUUCGAGGCAAUCAAACCCAAUGCACGAUUUGGGAAUUAGGAUGUUAUUGAAAUCUCACUCUCAGAAGUUUUUUUUUUUUUUUUGGGACACAGAUGUCAUUGAUAUCUCAAGGUAACAAGUUCAGCUUUCAGGAUUUAGAAUGAAGUAAAAGGGGGAAAAAUCAAACUUUCAGCACAAACCUGUGCAUCGUACAUAACAAUGCCAGCAUAAAUAACCGCUAAACCAAAAAUUGCAUCAGAGAAACCCCUGAAAUAGGGAAAAGGGACAAAAAAAAAAAAUGGAACUUAGAUUACUUAGAUUAGUUCAGUAAUAGCAUUCUUCCAGCUAAGACUUACUAAGAAUCAAGUCAAUGGAGCAAAACAAGUCUUGUAAUAGUACAUAUACGUCUUGCUUUCGACAAAGUGAAAAAAACGAUGGAAAUGAAGCAUACCUUUCUAGGCCAAGGAUUGUUGCAGUCGCAACAACUGCCUGUGGAGUGGGAAUAGAUAGAAAUCAAUGACUAUAUUUAUAACUUAAAAGAAAAAAAAAUCAGUGUGGCAAAAAGCUACAAAGUUGAGCUCUUCCCUCCCUAGCCCCUCCUGAAAGUGAAAUUUUCAAGCGAAACGAACGCUGUUAGGUUAUAAUAAAAUAUUCAUCCAUUUCAAGGCUAUCGAACUAGCAGUCUUUUUUUAAAAAAAAAAAUUGGAAAUAAAGGAGGGUGAGGGAAAGAGAGAGAGAGAGAGGGAGGGAAAUUACAGAGGAGUGCGUAGAAGGGAGCCCUCCAGCCUGAAAGGCACUCUUCAAAUCGAAUUUGUUGCCGUGGAGAAUCGCUGAAGUAAAAGGCUUUGAGAGUUGGCCAAGGGCCGCGGAUACAGCUGCUGCUAUUAAAACCUACAGUCAUAACUAUCCUAGUGUAAAUAACAACAAACACCUCCAUAACUAACGCAUUAAAAAAGAAUAUAUACGUAUUCGUGUAAAAACUAGCAACCCCAACCUUGUUGUGGACGAUGUCAACGAUUUCAACAUUGGAAGCACACAGCGUUGAGAAACAGCUACUACUAAGUGUCCUUGUAGAAGAUAAUGUUGGGCCGGCGUUGCUUCUGAGAAAGUGGUGGCGGUAUUGGCCAAGUUGAAUUUCUCCGGAGGAACCAGAACCACUCAAGUGAGGACGGAAUACGUGCUUCCUCAUCUCACCAUAUCUUUCGCUGUUGGACACCACAACUCUCGAAUGUAUCGAAAAGCUCCAACCUUGCAGCAACAUCAUCAUCCCCCUCCUCCUCUCACUUAUCCUACUCCCCUCCCACCUGCCUCAGCUCAGCUUCACUCUUCCCCGGUCAAUGGCUUUUUUUUUCCCCUUUAGUCAAUGGCUUUAAUUUAAUAGGGGCGGCUUUGCCAUACGUAUGGAUGUUGGCCGUCCCGUUUGUAUUUUUUGUUGGUACGGAGCUGCCAACUUGGGUUGUCAAAUUAGCAAUAUGCAAGUUGGCUUCCAACACCCGGGGGCGGCAUUCAAAAAAAACACCUGGGUGCGUAUUAUAAGUAUUCUGCUACAGCUUAGUUUGUCAAAUUAGCAAUAUGCAAGAAAUAAUUAAAUAAUUAUGGAUGUCUGGUUCCUAUCUAAUAACAAAUUUAUCACUAGUUCUAAGGUGAUAAAGUUAAAACGCUGUCAUGAGAUAAUAUAAUUAUAAAACUAUCAUGAUUUUCAAGGUGGUAAAACCUUCAAGAUCAUAAACUUGUCACGACUUUUCAGAAGAUCUUAUUAAUAAUUAUAGUUAAUUGGUAUAUUUUGAACUACUUUCCUGAUGAUCUUAUCAACAAUUGUAGUUAAUUGAUAUAUUUUAAACUCUUUUGUACUCUCCUAUAAAUAAGGGUCAUCCCCUCUCUUAGAAAUACUAGGCUUGGUGCCCCGUGAGUUCUGCGGGGUGUCCAUUAUUAACUGUCUUAGGGUAAUGUAAGAUUUAUUUAAUAACAUAGAUUUGAAGUAUUUUGUAUGAUAAUGGAGUUGGAAGAGUGGAUAGAGGAGUGAUAUAUUGGAUUGAUUUAUUUAUAAAUAGAUAUAGUAAAAUUGUUGCGAUUUGUAUUGUGUUUUUUAAAAUUAAUACGAUCUAAAGAUUUGAUGGAUAAUAUUGGUUUCAAAAUUUUUUAUUUUAAUUUAGUGAUAAGUAAAUAUUAUUUAAAUUAAUGGAAUUUAUGUUAUUUUUUUAAAGUUGAUAGGAUGGAAAGUUAGGUGGAGAAUUACACUGAGAGUGUUAUAAUUUAUUAUACUUUGGGCGUUGGUAGUUUAUGUAUUUUAGGAUGAUGAUAUUUUCAUAAUUUGGAUAGCUAGGAUGAGAGAGUGUGCUUUGUUGCAAUGGAAAAGUCUAUGGAAAGGAUAUAAAUGAACGGGGAAUUUGUUGAAAAAUAAAUGGAUAAUAGAUUUUUUUUGACAAAAUUUGAUAUAGUUUGGGUGUUGUGUAAUGAGAAAAAUUAAUAAUUUGGAAUAAUUUGAUAUUGUAGCUUGGUAAAAUACGUGUUUAUUAAUUAAGUAGGUUUUUUUUUUCUAUGAGUAAAGAUGAUAUUGAUUUAGUUAUGAAUGAAUGUGAUUUUUUUUUCGCAAAAAGGUCUUUAUUAAGUCACAUAAGGAAAAAUGCAGCCACAACAGCGACAAUCCAAGAGGGAUCUAGCAUCGCCUCCUGCGGAAGUUAGGGAAUCCUAGUCUAUCCAGACAUAUUUCACCACGAACCAAGAGAGGUACCAUGUCAAAGGAGGUAAACACAGAGUCCACUUCGCUGACGGCUCCCAAUUUGGCCAGCCUGUCUGAAGGCUUGUUAGCCUCUCUGUAGCAAUGCGUAAUCGACCGGAACAGCCUCCUAUGCCACAUUAGAUCCUCCACUUCCCUUUGCAGCCACCAGGGACAUGCCUGAUCACCUGAUAUGAUUCGAACCAAGGAUAACGAAUCCAUCUCCAGAUGCAACUCUAAAUACCCCAUAGCAAUGCACUAUUGCACCCCACAAGCUAAUGCCUUCAACUCUGCGUGUAGGCUUGUUAUGACACCCAAGGAACACGAAAAUGCCAGAACAAAGUCUCCUUGAGAAUCCCGAAGCACUCCCCCGCCUCCACUCACCCCUGGAUUCCCCAGAGAACACCAAUCUUUAUUGAGCUUAUAUCCCCCACCCGAGGCCACCCCACUUAACCUGCAGAACGGUAACUAUUGUCGGACGAGCCACUAGGGCCGAGUGCAACCUCUCCCACGAGCCACUAGGCCACGCUAUAGUUGGGAAUUGAACCUUGAGUAACUCCCGUAUCCUGACCAAGACACGGCCAGCCACACCUCCCCCCGUUGUCCUUCCCCCAUUCAUUAACGUCCUAUUUCUUGCACACCACAAUUCCCAACAGAUGACCGAAAGGAGCACACGAUACACAAAGGUCACAUACCGCUGCUGUGCCAGUCGGCUCCACCAUGACAUCACCAUGUGACGGACUGAGCUGAUACGGUCCGAAGCCCCCGCUUGAAUCUCAAAUGUCCUCCAUACCUGCCGGGCGGUAUCCCCCGAGCAAAAGAGGUGAUUCAAGCGUUCCUCCUGGGUAGUCGUGUAGCAAAAGCAUCUAGAUGGCCCGUGGACAUCCAACUUGCGCAACUGGUCCACUAGAGGCAACCUACUCGAUAACAAGCGGAGCAUGAAAAACGAAAUCGUUAUAGGCAAAGACUCAUGCCAAACGGAGCGGCCCCAAAUGAUCUAUGCGAGUGGCCCCGAACGACCGCCACGGCCAAAGAAACUGUGAACUCCCCAUUGGGGGUUAAACUCCAAACCAUCCUGUCCUCCCCUAGCAGGGGUGGCGGCCUACAGAACAUAACCAGCCGCACAAGCUCCGGUUGCAACACCUGUGAGAGAGAGCAGCCGUCCCACUCCCCUCCCGUCACAAAAUCCGCCACCCGGUGAUCCUGAAAUUCCUCCACACUUCUGCAAAGCGGGGCAGACCCCAACCAGUUAUCGUGCCAGAAGUCCAUAGCUCCUGCCCUUACAAUCCACCCUAUGUGCCUCUCCAUGAUCCCCUGGACCUUACACAUCCGUCUCCAUGUGGAGGAAGGACCCAAUCUCUCCUUUGCCAAACAAGGAUGCCUGCCCCUACAGUAUUUGGAAGCCAUGAACGAAGCCCAGAGGGAGAGCCCCUGCUUAAACUUCCACCACAACUUCAUGGAGAAGGCCUGAAUGAAUGUGAUUGAAAUAGAUGGAAGUUAUAUUUUUGAAUUAAUAGAAUCUGAAUAAGUAAAGGAUAAUAUUUUGAGAGCUGAGAGAUUUUAUAUAUUAAUAGUUUAUUAAUAAAUGGAUAUUAUUGAAAGUAAGGUGAUGUGUAUAAAUUUUUUUAUAAGAAAUAGAAAUGGUUGCACAUGAAAAUUAUAGAGUUUAAUCACUAGAAUUUGCAAUAGAAUUUUUAAAUAUUUAUUGUUUGAUGUUUAUGUGACUUAUUUUAUGUUACUUAAAGUUGUAGUGAAUUUUGUAUUAAUAUAUAGAUAUAGGUAUAUGAUAUAUUUUGUAAUAUAUAUAUGUGUAUGUAUAUAUAUAUGCGUGUGUGUGUUUAGUAUUUUAUUUUAGGUGAUAUAAUGGUUUAAUUUUUUUAGUGUUUAGAUUUUUUGUGGUUUUGUUUGUUUGUUAUAUUUUUAUUUAUUUAUAUAUGUGUACAUAUAUAUGUAUAUGUCUAUUUAAUAUUUUAUUUGAGCUUGUAUAAUUGUUUAAUAUUGUUUUAGCAUGUCUAUCUUUUCCAGUUUUGUUUGUUCGUUAUAUUUGUGGCGUUCCUAUUUGUCUUGUGAUUCAUGUGUCAAUAUGAUUUUUUUUAAUUGCAUCAUUUAUAUUUUUGUUUAUAUAUAUAUAUAAGGGUGUGGUUUUAAGUAUUUGUAUGUAAAUUUCUAGUAGUUUGGUUAUCUUUGUUAUAGUUUUAGAGAAAAGUUUGUCUUUUUUUAUUUUGGUUUUCAGUGGUAUAUUUUCCAAUUUUUGAAUUUUUGAAAUAUUAUCGAAGUAACAUUUUUGAAAUAGAGGGAAAUUAUCCUAUAUUUUUAAAAACAAUUAGUCAUAUUAAUGCAAGCUAAUACAAAACAUCACAAUUGAUUUAUAUUUAUUAGAUAUGGACAAAAUUUUCAUCUAUAUAUAUAUUUUUUAGAAAAUCAAUAUUUCUAUCGAUACAUAUAUGUUUUGCAGAAAAUGAAUAUAUAUAAAAAGGCACACAAUUAAUCAUCAAUUUGUAUUGACCGCAUUUAUGCUACCCAAUCUUAAAAUACAAAAGCUUUAAGUUAAUACACACAAAUAGAAUGUGAGAAUAUAUAUAGAUUUGUAUAGCUCAAAAAAUUCGUGUUUGCAUUGGGGAAUGGAAGGUAGCGGCACCUGCAACAAACAAAAGCAAAGAAAUAAUAAUUAAGAGAUAUGACAAGCUAAAAACCAUAAAGUACAAAAUUGACAGCAAAAUUAAAAAGAAACCAACACAAAAGGGCAUGAUUGGAAUAAAGAUGAUAAAAUGCAAUAUAAGGACUGCCGCAAUAGCAGACAAUAAACUCCACAGCGGGCCCCCCAUGAUGCUGAAAGACACAAAAGUCCAAAAUCAUUCGUAGAAUUGCAUCGAAACCUGGACAAUCAACUAUAGCUCAUGACUUAGCGCAUUAUGUAGUUCAGGAUGAUUAUUUGAUAUGAAUAACACUUAUUAUAUGUUAAUACAAAGUGGUACAAUUGAUUUAUACAUAUUAGAUACACACAAAAUUUUUGUUCAUUCGUAUAUAUUAGAUAUACAUAUGAUUUUCAUUGAUAUGUGUUAAUACAAAGCAGAAUAAUUGAUUUAUAUUGAUUAGAUACACAUAAAAUUUGUAUUGAUUUGUAUAUAUUAGAUGCACACAGAAUUUUUAUCGAUUUGCAUAUUUUUUUGAAAAUCAAUAUUUUUGUUAAUAAAUACAUUUUGGAGAAAGUUAAUAAAUAUAAAAGAGUAGAGAAAUUAUAUUCUGGAGAAAGUUAAUAAAUAAGCGAAUAAAUAUAAAAGGCCAGGGAAAAUUAUAAACAUAAAAAUGAAUCCUUUUUUAAAUCAUAAAAACACACACAAAUAAAAUGGCCAAAGAUAGCAAUUGCAGCAGCAGAAGAUAGAACAAACAAAAGGACAAAAUUGACAACAAAAUUACAAAUAAACCUGGACAAAAGGGCACAAUCGGAAUAAGCUAACAAAAACAAAAUGAGGAAAAAAGCAACAGCAAGCAAAGUGGUUGCAUGGAGUUUGGUAAAAGACAAAAAAAGGGCAAAGUCAGCCCCGGAAUCAUAUGGAAACCAGCAUAAUCAACUGUAACUCAAGCCUUGGGACUUUAUGUAGUUUAGAUGUAGAGCUCAAAAUCAUUUGAGAAAAUAAAAGAAUACUUUUCUUUCUUAUUUACCUUUCUCUUUUUCUAAAUUCAUCAAUUUUCUUGAUUUUUUUAGCAUAUUGCCCACCAUAUAAAGAAUAUAAAUCCUAUAGUUUUAUUAACAUAUCUAGUCUAUGCAUGAAUGUCGUUGUUUCCAAUUGAGUUCCAAUUGCUAACGUGGUGCGCUGGUAUUGGCUGAUUGGUGGUCGUCUGGCCCGUGCGAAUUUCCAAUUGAUGGUCGUCCAUUGCCACACGUGAAUUCUUUUGUUUGCUCAGACGUUUAGCAAUCCUUUUGUUUCUUUGUUUGCUGUUUGCUGGGAAGUGUUCCACUAAAAUUUGGUAGUACUCCAUGUGCGCAUUUUUUUUGUGCAGGUCUUUGACCACCGGAUAAACUAGCAAGAAGAAGUCUUCCUCAAUUCCUCAAUUCUUGGCUUUUGCAACAAAGCUAUUGGCUGAAGAGUGGCAGAGCUGGUCAAUUCACAUGAAUCACCUCAAUUCGUCAACCCGUUGUUCUAGAAGCUUCUUUCUCGUGGUUUCCUCAUGUUCUUCUCUCUUGAGUUUUCAUAUUCCUCUCAAAUCCACUGUUUCUCCAUUUUUGUUCUGUAUACAUUUUUCCCACUUGAUUAAAUUUUCUCUCAUUCUCUGAUAAGUUUCAUAUUUUUUUUUCACAAGUUGAGAGGUCAAACUAUCAACUAAACCAUGAAGAAAUGUGGAGAUUGUUCUCUAAAGGUGAACACUUUUUCUGUGACUUUUUUUUUUUGCUUUUUUUGUACAUUUUCUCCGGAUUUUUUCCCUUAUAUCUCCCUAAUAAAACUUUUCUGGCCAAGGUAUCUGUUGGAUAAAUAAGAAAGGAAAAAACGAUGCAAUCUUUCUGUGUUCGAUGGCCGUUUUCUUUCUCGAGAUUUGUUAUCAACAGAUGUGAUUUUCUUAGAUCUUCAAAAAACCACGUCUAAUUUUUUUUUUCUUUUGUGAUGUUGCGAUGUUGUAGGUAUGAAAUUUGGAGAUUUUCUCCAUCGUCGUCAUGCUAUUUUGCAAGUUUUUUCCCUCUUUUGAAGUCUCUUUUCCUCUCUUAUCGUUUGUUUUAUCUGAUUGACAACAACAAAACCAAAGAUCUAGUUGGGAUUUUUUGCUUCAGUUCAAAAUUUGUUUUUUCCUUCUUUUUUCAAAGCUUCUCUAGCCUUUUGUGUUUUUUUCCCUUUCAUUUUUAAUUUCCUUUUUUCCCCUUUUGUGAUGUUUUGAUGUCGCAGUUACGAAAUUUGCAGAUUACCUCCACCAUUCUUAUGCUUUUUUCUAAAUUUUUCCUCCUUUUUUAACGGUAAGUUCUAUAUGGUUAUUUUCUCAAAAAAGACUUAUUUUUGUUGUAUCCUCCCCUUACUUUUGCCUUAUUUCCAUCUUUUUUUUCCCGUGACUAAAGACACGUUAGAAUGGAUUUAACAAAUUUGAUUAAGUUCUUUCUGGUGGAUUUAAAAAGUUUUUUGCCCAUGUAUGAUUAUAUAAUUUGUAUAUUUUUGUGAUGUUGCAGGUCCAAAAAUUGGAAUUUCUUUUAUUCUCUCAAAAAACUACUAAUGUAGUAGUAUGGAUCAACAUUAUUCCCAGCCUGUUUUGCAUAAUAUUGGUGAAUAUUUUGAGUGAGCCUUGUUCUAUUCGCUUAUAUGUGAUUACAGUUUAUACUCUACUUUUCUUUAUUUUUUUCUAUGCAAAAGAUAUUGUUUUGGAUUUUUUUCCAUUUAUUUAUUUGUUUUUAUGACCUAUUAGAUGUAAGUUUCAAUUUUGGUUAUCAUGAGGUGUUUAUCCUCUUAGUUGUGUCUUGGAAAGUUUAGUUUUCUGACAUGUUUCCUUGAGCCUUUUAUAUUGAAGAUUUAUAAAUCCUCACUAGAUGUUGAGACUAUUUGUGUACUUCAUGGGUCUGUCCCUUUUGUGUUUUUUUGUAAGUAGGGUUGCUUUUUUUUCUCUUCUUGUUUUCCCCCCUUUUUUGUUCUAAAGUACUGUAAUGAUACAAUCAUAUUUUAUUUAUCAAAUGUUUGAUAGAAUGUUAAAACCAUUAAUUUGUUAUAUAGUAGCUAAAAUUGGAAAAAAAAAUUGUCCACUCUAACCCACUUUCUUGACUUUUAACCGAAAGGCUUUGUUCCUCUAUCCAUGAAUUUCCUCUUCCUCUUCUCAUGGUCUUCACUUGCUAACAAAAAAGGAGAGCUAUAUAUGCUUAUGUUAUCUCUUCUUCUAUUGUAGUUUUAAAAAAAGAAAAGUGGAGAUUGUUCUGUGAUAAAGCCUCUAAAAUUUCUCAAGGUAAUUUCCUCUAUUUUAUAGUAUUUUUUGUAUCAUCAUUUGGCCAGUAACGCUUACUAAUUCUUCUGCACAGAGGUUAUGCAAGGCUUCCUUUUUUCCACCUCUAACAUCAGUGCACAUGAGGUGAUAAAGUGGGUGUAUUUCUCCUGUUCUUUUGUUUAGGCCUUUAUUUUCCAUAGUUUGGUUGCCCGGUCUAUGUGAUUAUCCUCCGGAGAAAUGUUUUUGCUAAAGUUCUCUCCUGAAUUUCUCACUUUUGGCCAUGGGCUCGAGGAGUCUGGAAACGUUCGUCAUAGUCCCUUUUCUUUUGGCCAUGGGCUUGAGGAGUCUGGACAACCAAGUUUAAUUCUUUUUUUAACUGAUCUUUAUUUUGUUGAAUGUCUCUAACAAAUAUUUGUGUUAUACACUAAUAUGUAUUAUUGCCUUUUAAGGUGGUUUUUUCUUUCCACCUUAUUUAUCACAUACAUUCAAUAGAUGAUUUUACCCUUUUUAUCUCUUUUUUCCAAUUUACCUAAUUCAAUAUGCAUUGUCAGGUUCUCUAUAUUGAGCUGAGGAACAUUAUGAUUUGUUAUCUAACAUUCGGCAAUUAGUUAAGGUACUUUUUGUCAUACUUUUUGUUCUUUAAUAGUUAUCAAGCAAUUGGGGGCCUUUUACAACAUGUAUGUGUUUUGUUUGUCCACUGCAACUAGGUAUUAUCAGGAAUUUGUAUUUAAUUAUAUGCUUUUGGUAUUAUGUUAAAUAUUUUAACAUAGGACUCUACUUCUUCUAAAUUUUCAAGUCUCAACUUGUGCACUGAUUAUUAAAACCAUUGACAUUCAUGUAUUUGCUAAUAAUUGGGUGUUCGGUUUUAGUUUGUGAAGUUGCAUAUCUGUUAAUUUCAAUGAAUUCAUUUGAAUGAAGACAAUAAAUAAUGCUUUGCAUUUGAUGCUUGCUAAUAAUCAGUGGUUUAUUCCAAGGGGGCAAAUCUUGCUUUAUUUUUUUUUAAUCUUAACCCCUUUUUAAAAACUAGAAGUGAGAUUUUUUGUCCUUGAUAGGUUUACCUUCCAAUAUGUAAUUGUUGACUGGAAUUGUUUACAGCCUAGAGGGGCUUGACUUUUAUGAUAAUUUCUUGGGAUGCUUGAUUUCAAAAAAUUAAUGAUAAAUCUCAUUUUGUGCUUGUGAAAUGAAUGGUGGAAUUUUCCCUUUCUAUAAGGCAGAGACGUUGUUUGGAUUUAAGCGUUUUGUCUUUAUUAUUUUCUUAAAUAUGCUUUUAGUACUUCUGGUAAUAAAAGAGUUUCACUCAUUUGCACUUUAUAUGGUUAGGUUCUGACGCCCCCACUUCUCCCAAGAACGAAUCCAAGGGUAUCCGCGGGACACCUACCCAACUCUCGCCAAGACUCGGGACAAUUCCAAUUCAAACAUAGUCUAAUACUAAUAAUGAAAGUCGAAAUAAAAUACAAAGUCAUUUCCGUAUAUAAAUAUCCAGUCUUACAUCACAAUCUCAAAUUUACAAUCACUUUUCCCAAAAUAUACAACAUCCAAGAGUGUCUAGUCGAUUACAAUCAAAACACUAAUACAAAAGUACCUCAAUUCGGCAUUUCCUUAACUCCUUCCAAUCGGGUUCCUGUUAUGAAAAAACAAACUAAUCGGAUGAGUUGACGCUCAGUGAGUCCAAGAAAAUCAUGCAAGCAGGUAAUUCAAAUAGCAAUAAAGUUAGUACGAGAGAUAAAGCUAUAACAUUCAAGUAAUUUUCGAAUAUUCGCAAAACACAUUCAAGAAAAAUACGGGAACUCUUAGGAGCUCAUUUCCACUUGCUUUGCCAAAAUUCAAUCAAUAGUCUGUCAAACUUUACUUAUUCUAUUUAUGAUUCUGAGACGAAUGAGAGGUACCUCCCACCCGAAUCGGUGUGGUACAUACCAUCGCUCAGUGGUCGAAUAUACGUUUAUGGUUUUGAGUCGAAUGAGAGGUACCUCCCACUCGAAUCGGUAUGGUACAUGCUAUCGCUCAAAGAACCGAUUAUACGAUUAUAAUUAUAAGGGUUGAUGACAUUCAGUCCAAUCGAUAAAUACCGUUAUAGGCCGAUAAACAACGCUCAAACCGACGAUUCCAAAUAAGAAUUACAAAUACGAAUUACAUCCACAUUACUAUGUACAAGUCGAAUAUGAAUUUUCAUAGCAAAAUACGAAUAUAAUUUCGUUCAAAAGAGAACGAAUGCGGUAAAAUACACACUUGUUUCAAAAUUUCAAAUUCACACAACAGAUAAGAAAUAGUUAACCACUUAGCAACAAAUUCAUACACUUGACAUUCAUCAAUACAAGAAAACAAGGAAGUGUGUCCACUUCAAGGUUCAGGCGUCUACCGUGGGAUCCUCUUAAAGGUCCUUUUGGGUGCCUGAGUAAUUGAUAAUAAACUAUCACUUAUAAACUCCAAUUAUCAUGGAAGAUCGCACACUUGUAUAAUUUAGAAAAUAUCGUGAAGAUGAGUCAAAAAUUUCUUGUAAAUCAAGACUUUAAAGUAGGAUUCAAGAACACAAGAAAAUCUGGUUUUCAUCUUUGAAAUCAAGUGUAAAAUGAUCAAGUGAUAUCAAAGGAAAAAAGAGUGUUUGAAAAAUUCCAUUUCCUUUAAGUUAGAAUUUUCAGAUUUGUUACACGUAUUUUGAAAAAUUGUAUCUCACUCUCUACAAGUUCAAAAUUGAAAAUUUUGGUAAUGUUGGAAACUACUUCUAAAGUAUCAAAAGUUCCUAGAAGACACCUUUCCAUGAGUCCAAAUGGAAGAUAUUCAAAAUGUGGCUCAAAAUGGCUGUUUUGGAAUGCCAAGACAGAUUUGGGUUAAUUUUUGGCGAAGUUUGGAAAUUCGGCAAAUUUCAAAUAAUACGAACUAGCCUCUAAAAUUUGGAACUCAAUUAGAGUUACAAUCAAAAUUUUCAACACAACAAGCGGAACAAGAAUUGGAGUUUUGAGCACACAGAAUUAGAGUUUUCUGGUGGUGACUUUCUUUUAAUUGGCAAAAGAUUUUUCACAAUUUACCUGAGAAUGAAAAUUGUGAUUCAACUUAAGAUGACAUAGCAAUAACAAAAUAAAUGUGCUUAAGAAUAAAAUGGGCUAAGGCUCGCAAAGAAUCAUAGUCUUUAAGUUUUUAUUAAAUAAAAAAGGUCAAAUCAUUUCUAAUGAAACUAUUGCAUUACUUUGGCAUUGAUUGUAAACUAUGGACACAUUUUGUUUUAUUAUUGGUUAUGCAUGCAAGUUUUUUGUGUAAUUUUCUAACUGAAGGGGGAGAAUUAGCAAGCAUUAAGGGGAAAGCUAAGUGAUUUAGUUGUCUUUAACUUCUACUUCUAUGCCUGUGAUUGUGUUCAAGCAUGUUCUAACACUUGAUUGAGAAGUUUGGUCAGCUUUUGCUACCACAAUUGUUGAAGAAAAAAAUCAGUAAUAAAAAGUUAUAUAGGGGUUAGAACAAAAGAUAACGAAGUUAAAAUAGCAAAAUGAUGAUGUGGAAGGUUAAUAAUAUUGCUAUCAUGGUAAAGUUUGCUAUGUUUUUUUUUUAAAUCUUUCUCCUGAUCAAAAGUAGAAGAUGAGAAGAAAAAUAAGCAAAUUAAAAUAAAAACAUGGAUUUUCAACCUAAUCGAGUCAUGUAAAAUAGCUGUGAACGGAUGUUGUGUACGACGCAUGAUUUUUUUGCAUUGUAAUUUCUUCUUCUUUCUUAGUACUUUUCUAGCCUUUUGAUUUUUUUGUGGGGUUUAGUAGUCUAAUUUUUGUGUAUUAAUUUGUCUAUAUAUGUUGCAGGUGCAAAAAAUCAGAAAUUUCUUCCAGCAUCAGGUUCUAUAAAAUUUUUUCCUUUAAUAACGUGCAUCCUAUUUGGUUGUCUUUUUAAAAAAUACAAAUUUAGCAUUCUGUUUCCAUCUUGUGCCUAAUUUUUUAAGGAUUUUUGCCAUAUUGGAAUCUUAAUUUUGUUUUCCAGAAUGCAUUUAACAAAUUUGAGGAAGUUCUUUUAUGAUUUUUUCCUUUCAAAGAUAUUUUUGGACUAUCUAAUAUGUUUAUUUUUUGUGAUAUUACAAGUCCAAAGAUUUGAACUUUGCUUUCAUUUUCUUUCGUGGUUUUUCCUCAUCUCUUGUAAUUCUUGCUUUUGUUUGCUUUGCUUAACUACUUUUUUUCCUUCCUCAAGUGAAAAAAAUAGAAAACAAAUGAUUUUGUGUUUGUGGGGUUCCAAAGUAAACGUUUGGAGCAAAGCAGAAAAGAAAAUGUGAAAUUUGUUAGAUUGUGGGGUUGUAUGUUUUUGUGAUUUUUGUAAAUUGUGGUUAUAUUCAUAUUCGAGAGUUGAAGCAAAGAAGUUGGGACUGUUAGCUAAGCCAUAUUUGGCGAGAGCGCAAUCAAUGUGUAGAUUGGUUGGCUAAAUGCAGCAUAUGAUCCAUCCGGGUUAUAAGUUCCCGAGAGAUGCGAGAUUUGUUUGAAGUGGAUGUGUUAGGAGUUGCAUAUCAUUAUUUUGUUUCUAUUUAAGAGGUUAUGACCUCUUCCAAUGUACCAAAUAAAUAAAUAAAAAGGUUCCUUUAUGAUAUAUAUAUAUAUAUCUUUGGUGCUUCUUGCAGGAUUUUUUUUCCCUUUUGAUUGGUCUUAUCCUAAUGUUGUAAAACUGCUCUGGCAGCAAAAGUGUAUAGAAAUUUUGAGGUUGCAUUCCUCAAAAUUCAAAAGACAAGAAUAUCUUAAGAAUGAAUUUGGAAUUAUAUUGAGUAAUGCAAAUAUGUUAAUAUAGUUGCUUUUAAGUAUGAGAUUUCAUUUGUAAAUAUUGAGGAUACCAAAAUAUAAUUUGUAUGUUGGGUCAAUGGCCAAUAGUAUAUGUCCUUAUCAUGUCUUUCUCAUGUCCUAUUGUAUCUUUUAAAGGUAUUGUAUUAUAAUUUUCAUCUUUUGAACUUUAUAUUUUUAAUAAUUUUAAACUAAUUAUAUACUUUUUAAGAACACAAUUUUGAAUAUUUUGUUUAUCAUUCACAUUUAUAAUAAUUUGUAAACUAAGUGAGUAUAAUUGGGCAUUUAUCCACCGCGCAUCGCGCAGUGAAUCCCUCCUAGUAAUACGUUAUGCGCUAAGGCUUAAAUUCUCCCAGUUCCUUCUUCAGUCGGUUGAAAGCUUCUGUCCUAGACGAAUUAGUAGUCGUACUUUCUCAAAUGUAGUUGAAAGCUACGGCUACAUCUUUUGAGGGCCCUAAGAAGUAGUUCUAUGGGCAUGUCAUCUUCUAAAAGUCAGUCAGUUCCCCCUCUGUUCCACGGGUCUCUAUUUCCGAUCAAAAGUAAAACACGAGUUUCUACAUUGAGCAAAGGUGAAACAUAAGUCUUUAUUUCGAAUGAUUGUUGAACACAUGUUUCAAUUCUUAAACUCUCCUUAAGGUAAGUUUCUUCUUUACAAAUUUGUUUUACUUUCGUAUGCCUAACUUCUAAAUAAUCUGUAACGCCUUAAAACAACCAAUGCAAAGAUCAUAAACGAAACAAUAAGUAAAUAAAAACAGGGAAAGAAUUGCAAACCAAUUAACUACCCAACUCCUCUUGAGCUUGUAGAUUAAUUGAAACAAACUACUUCAAGUUGAUGAAUUACAAUCACUCUUGUGUACAAAGGAAGGUUCACCUCCUCCUUGCCCCGAACUCCACUCGGUCAAGCCAGGACGUUUUACUAUCCCUCAGGACAACCCUCACAGAGCUACACUCAUGAAAGAUUCAUUCACAAAUGAAAAGCUUACAAUGAACCUCACACCACUAAGACUACAAAUCUUCUUUGAAGAGUAUUUUCUCACUAAAAUCACUCUAGAUCUUUUGUAUCUUCAGUGUGCAAAAGUUGUUUGAAGUAUCUAAUCAACCACUAUUUAUAUAGAACCAAGAAAGAGCCUCAUUAAAGCUUCCAACGGAUAGAAAGUAGCUGAAGAGUCAACUAGCCGUUGGAGUGUCGGACGUCCGAUGCUAGCGUCCGAUACUGUCGGACGUCCGGUAGCCCUGUUUUGUGCGUCCGACAGCAGGCAGAGAGUUUAAGAGAUUUUCUUCAAUUCCUUCGGACGUCCGGUGCAAGCUCUUUGUGCGUCCGACAGCAAACAAACAGAUUUGAGAAAUUAUCUUGUUUCUAUCGGACGUCUGGUAGAGACAUAUUCAGCGUCCGAUAGUUUCGUCGACUUCGAAGGAUCCUAUCGGACGUCCGAAGCAUGCGUCCGAAGUUGUGCAAUGAUUAUCGGACGUCCGAUCUUGACAUCUUGAGCGUCCGAUAGUUUCAGCAUACUUUGUCAUAUUUAAAUUGUACUUGAUCUUUAGAACUAAUUUGCUUCAUAACUGAAUAGAUUUUUGAAGAAACAUUAGUAACAUCCAUUUGUUUUGUAAAUAUCAAAAGAUAGGGACCAAGGCUAACAUAAUCGUAAAAUAGAAGUGACUACUACUAAAUAAUUAUUAAGUACAAACAUAUACUUUUUGACAUUUUUGAAAUAAUAUUUCUUCUUUCAAUCCUGUCCACUUAUCUUAUCGAAAAAAUUAUUUAUUAUAGAUAUUAGAUGUUAAAAUACAAUCUGAUGCAAUGAAUUUUGAGGACACUAUUGUAAAAAAUCAAUUAUUCUUAAGGAUCCAUUUGUCCUUUGAACUAAUUAAAAGAAAAAGAUUUGAUCGUCUGAAGAUAAUCAUUAUUUUAAAGGUCUAGUAUGAUAAAUUUACUUGUGAUUGCAAAAACAUAAUUUUGUAAUGUUCAGAAUUACUUUUUAGUUAAAAUUGUGUAAAGAAAAUACUAUUUAUGAAAUAUGUUGAAAAUAAUAUUCUCCACAUUUGAUUCCUCAAAUAUGCUCUUGUAGCAAUAAUAUUGAUAGAAAUUUUUUAGAAGUAUUCUUUGUUUAUUGGAUAUCUUCUUGUAAAUGAAUACAGUAAUGAAAUUUACCAACUAAUUCUAGUUCAUUCCCAAAAAUAAAUGAGAUGAAAGUUUAAGUUGUUUGUUAGUUAUGAUUGUGGCCAUAACUAUAAUUUUGGUAGAUAUGUAUCUUAUCAUGGCAAAAAGAAAAAUUGCCAGUUGAAGUAGGAUAAUAAUAAAAGAACAAGAAAAUAAGGAUUCUAAAGAUAAUUGCUACUAGUAUUGCAUGAAAGAUCAUUAGUCCCAUGCAUGUCAUAUAACUAUAUAUCUUAUCAGUAUUUAUGAAUUAUCACUAAAAAGAAAGAUUUUGAAGAUUCAUCCGAGUGAAGUAAAAAGUUAGUUUCAUACCUAGAGUUUGAUUAAAUAUUUUGUUAAUUUUUAUCAUGUAUUAGUAAAAAAGAAAACAAAUGUCUGGAAGUACACUUGACCAAACCAAAUUAUAACAAUAUCUUGAUAUGAUCAAUUUCUUUAAACAUCCUAAAGGUGUAUGAAGAUUAAUUUGAUUUAUGAUAAUAAUAAUUGUAUUUUCUUCUUGAAAAAGAAUUGGAUACCAAACAUUUGGAAUCAAAGGAUUAUAGUAAUGAUAUUUGUCUCAUAAGAAUUAUGGUGACGAUGAUAUGUGUUUCACUGAUAAUAUUACUAUACACACUAUAUUUAAAAAUAAAAUGUACUUUUUAUUGAAAUUCAUAAGUGGUAAUGCUAAAAUUGAUCAAAAGUUUUAGAAAAGUCAAUACUAUAUUUCUUUUUGAAAGAGUAAAAUUUGUUAUAUAUGAUGCACUGCUCUUCAAGUCUUAAAAAAAUUAUUCCAGAUAUCUCAAUAUGGAUAUCAUAUCGAGAUACUAAAUGAGACAAUAAUAAAAAUUAUAAUUAGAGAUCAAGUGAGACAAAGGUUGAUUAUAUUCCAAAAACUAUUCGAGAAGGAAUAGUUAUUGGUAUAGUUGUUUUCAUUCUCAUUUGGUUUACAAUUAAUUCAAAAUCAUCAUUCACGAAAAAUAAAAAAUUUACUAAUCCCAAUGAAUUUAUGAUUUUACAAAACGUGAGAAUUUAAAUAAUUUUGAAAGCCAUCAAGUACUCAUAUAUAUAUAUAUAUAUAUAUAUAUAUAUAUUCCUUUAUGUUAUAGGUAACUCCAACAGAAAUUUAAAAAUUUAUAUCGGGUAUGAAUCAUACUUUACAAUUAAACAUUGUGAAAUAUUGAUAGGUGAUUUAUUUAUUGAAUAAUUUAUUGAUAUUUUGAUGAACUAUAAUUCCUGAUAUUAGGAGAAGGAAAUCAACAAAAAAAGAAUCACUUAAAAAAUAUCAUUGAAUUUUCUCGAUCCUCAUACAAAAUAAUAUGAAUUGAAAGUUUAAAAUAUUAUUCAUUUGUAGAAAAUUGCAAAUAAAUUAUCAAAUAUAUUGACUCCAAAGAGUUAUUAAAUCAAAUAUUCUUACAAAAAAUACUUGAUUAAAAUUAAUGUUUCUGAAGGAUACAUAUAAGUGCUACAAACGAAUUUAAGGUCGACCUACCUAAAUAAACAUCUUGAUUUCAAUAUUUUGAAUAUUAAAUAAAUGUCAUGACAAAAUUCAACUUUCUGAAAAGUUUACUUCUGAAGAGAAUGAAAUCAUAGAAACUUCAGCCUAAGAAUUUUCACAAAAAUUUGGAUUUGAUUAUGAUGAGAUAUAUUUACCUAUAGUGGAUAUGAUCAUGAACAACUAAAUUUGUGUUUAAUGGAUGUAAUCUCAGUUUAUAGGAAUCUUGAUAAUAAGAUUUACAUGAGAAUCCUUAAAGGAUUCAACAUGCCUGAAGCAUUUAAAUUAAAUCCCAAAACAAUUUAUCCCAUCAAAUUAUAAAAAUCUCUGUGUGGGUUCAAGGAAUCUAGACAUGUGUGGUCCGCCUUAGUGAGUGUUUACUAAAGAAAAAUUAUGUAAAUGAUCAAAUAUAUCCAUGUGUUUCUGUAAAGAGAAAUGAGUUAAAUUUUGUUAUUAUUAUUGUAUAUGUUAAUUAUUCUAAUUUGAUUGGAACUCCUGAAGAAUUUCAAAAAAUUGUUGAAUAUUUAAAGAUAGAAUUUGAAAUAAAAAAUAUUAGAAAAAUCAAAAUUUGCCUGGAUUUACAAAUUGAACAUUUAGAAAAAUAAGAUUUUUGUUCAUCAAACUGAUUAUACUCAGAAAGUAUUAAAAUAAUUUUAUAUUGAUAAAACACAUACUCCAAUGGUCGUCUGGUCAUUUGAUUAUGAGAAAAAUCCUUUUAGAUAGCAAGAGGUAGAUGAAGAGAUAUUUGAUUCUAAAACACCAUAUUUCAAUGUAAUUUGUAUGUUAAUUUAUCUUGCUAAUUGUACAAAAGUACAUAUAUCAUUUUCUAUAAAUUUAUUAGCAAGAUUUAGUUUUUCUCCUACCAGACGAUAUUGGAAUAAUAUAAAACAUUUUUUUUCGCUAUCUUCAAGGAAGAAUUGAUUUUGGGUUAUAUUACCCAUAUCAUUAUGGGUUUGAAUUACUUUUUUUUAUAAUAAAAUAGAAUAAUUUUAUUAAUCAUGAGAUCGAAUCUGCAACAAGUGCAGAAUAAAUAAAAGACGGAGGAGAGUUUCUCUAUAUACAAGAGUCUGAAAGAUUAACAUCAUACUUAGCAAGGUUAUGAGCAGGAACAUUAAACGACCUAAAAAUCCAUGAAACUUCCUAACACAUGAAAUCUUGACAUAAGACAAUGGUAUCAUCAAUCAACAAGCCACAUGAUGAAUCGUCAAAUUCCAAACGGUCCAGCAUUUUGAUGACUUUUUGUGAAUCUCCUUCCAAAACAAUCUUAUUGAAACCCAAAGAUUGUAGUAAUUGAGUAGCAUGUUUGGUCACAAAUGAUUCAAUCACUUCUGGUUCUAAUAUCCCAGGAAUUUUCUUGGAGAGGCCAGCAAUAAAACUUCCUUUAUCAUCUUAGAUAAUAACACCAACCCCUGAUGAUUUAUCAUCUAUAAACACAGCUCCAUCAAAGUUUGCCUUAACAAAACCUACAUUGGGUCGUAUCCAAUGACCUAUUGAUAACCUUGAUUGAAGAGACAUAGGCAUAUUGCACUUAUCUUUGAAAUUUGCUUCAUGGAAUUGAUUCAGGAAUGCUAUGGACAGGGAGACCAAGCUAAGAGGAUCUCUGUAGGGCCCAUCAAAGAUUGCUCCAUUCGCAUUAUUCCAUAAAUUUCAAAGAAUAACACCCACCAAUUCCAUCUCUUUGCUUGAUAGUCGCAAAAGCUGGUUGGGAAGCCAGGAUGUUAUAUGAUCAGAUGAUUGCAGUUGAACUUUUUGGGUCAAGAAACUAAGCGCCCACGAUUGCACAGCUACAGGACAAGUUAAGAAAGUAUGAUCAAUAUCAUUAACUGGAGCGAGACAUAAAGGGCAAGAGGUAUCUAAAUGGAGCCCUUUAGUAUUGAGUUUUGUGCUGGUUGGCAGUAUAUCUUUACAUGCCCUCCAUAAGAAAAUUUUAAUUUUCUCAAGAAGAUUCAAGUGUCAAAGCCGACACCAAACAUUUUGCUUUAGAGUACUACUACUUGAUGGCAAAUUCUCCCAAUUAGAAUAUCGCUGCUUGAUCAAGUGAUACGCAUUUUUCACAGUAAAAUAUCCAUUCUUUGAAGAGUGCCAGAUUAGCUUAUCUCUAUUAUGAGUGUCUCCAAUUGGAAUGCUUUGAAUUAAUUCAAUCUCCUCAGGACAAAAAAUUUCCUGCAAUAAGUCAACUCACCAAGUCUUUCGCUCGUAGUUAUUAGGCAAUCAACUGUGGAAUUCUCCGGCAAUGCAGUAGACUGCGACACGAUUUUAAAAGUGGAUGGCCGUGGAAGCCACCUAUCUUUCCAGAUUUUGAUAGACUGGCCAGAACCAACUCGUCAUCUGCUUCCUACUUCUAUAUACUUCCUGACCUCACAUAGUCCGCGCCAAGACCAGGAAGGCCGUGAUCCUUCUUGAGCUUGGAAGAAAUCAAUAUUGGAAAAAUAUUUAGCUUUAUAUACCCGAUGAAGAAGGCUAGAUGGUUGUGUAGCAAUACGCCACACUUGCUUAGAUAACAAUGCAAGAUUAAAAGUCUUAAACUGCCUAAAACCCAUUCCUCCAUCUUUUUUUCGGCUGCUAAGUUUAUCCCAACUAACCCAGUGAAUUGGUCUAGCCUUAUUUCCAUCACCCCACCAAAAAUUGCUCAUCAUUGAUUGGAUAUCCAUUAGUAAAGAAUCUGAAAAUUUGAAACAAGACAUCAAAUAUAUGGGAAUUGCUUGAACCACUGCUUUCAGCAAAAUUUCCUUUCUUUCUUUUGAUAACCGUUGUUCAUUCCAUCCUUGAAUUUGUUGCCAAAUUCUAUCCUUGAUAGAAGAGAAUACCUCACAUUUGGAGUGUCCAAUAAUGGUGGGAAGAUCAAGAUAUUUUUCAUGUGCAACCACUUCUUUAAUAUUCAGGAACUGAGUGAUAUCUUGUCGGUUUGAGAAAUCUAUGUUACUACUGAAAACCACAGCUGAUUUCUCAAGAUUGAUCUCUUGCCCAGAAGCUUCCUUAUAUAGUUGCAAGAUAUCCUGAAUAUGUUGAGCUUCUUGUAGGGUCGCUUUGCCAAAUAAUAAAGUAUUGUCUGCAAAUAAUAAAUGAGAAAGCUUGGGGCCAAUAUGACCUAUUUGAACUCUUGACAAUUUACCAUAAGCCUCUGCUUCUUGUAAUAGACAGAAAAAAGGCUUUGCACAUAUAAGAAAUAAAUACGGAGAAAUUGGAUCGCCUUGUCUAAUGCCCCGUUGUGGUCGUAGAUAACCAAAUUGAACACCAUUCAACUGAAAAGAAUACGAAACAGUAGAGAAACAACUGGAAAUAAGAUCAACAAAAGAUGGAUGAAAACCUAAAGCCAACAUCAUUCCUUUAAGAAAAGGCCACUCAACCCUAUCAAACGCUUUGCUUAAGUCCAAUUUAAUGGACAUGGAUCCCUCUUUGCCUGCAAACUUUGAUUUAAGAGAGUGGUUAACUUCGUAAGCGAUCAGGAUAUUAUCUGUAAUGAAACAACCAAGAAUAAAAGCAGACUGAAAGGGCGAGAGAAUUAUUGAAAGAACUUUAUUUAAUCUAUUAGCUAUAACCUUAGAAGCUAAUCUAUAAACUACAUUACAUAAACUAAUUGGACGAAAUUGAGUUAUAUUGGAUGGACAUUGGCAUUUUGGGAUAAGCACUAUGUAAGUGAAAUUUAAUUGAUCAUCAAAAUGCCCAUUGUUCAGGAAUUCAAGAACAUAUUUCAUACAUCCUGACUAACAACAUGCCAAAAUUUCUGAUAAAAUAUUGGGGACAUGCCAUCAGGACCGGAAAAUUUAAAAGGGUGCAUUUAAUUUAAAGCUUGUGUUACCUCAAAAGCUGAGUAAGUUCGCAUCAGUGAAUCAUUCAUUCGUUUAGAUGCCUUAGGUUGCACCCUUUGCAAAACCGCAUCAAUUAUCUCAGGAGAUGGCUUUGAACCGGAAAAAAUGGAUCCAAAAUGGUCAAAGAUAAUGUUCUCCAGAUCAUCAUGGGAGUUGCACUAUUGCCCCGCAUCAUUGAAAAGGCCAUUUAUCUGAUUUUGCUUCCGUCGCAUGGAUGUCUGUGCAUGGAAGAAAGCUGUAUUCCGAUCCCCCUCUCGAUACCAGUGAGUUUUACUCCUUUGUUUCCACAUAGUAUUUUUUCAAUCCAAAACAUCCUCUAAUUGAUUUGUUAAAGUCCCAAUUUGAGACUUAAUAGCAUCAGAGAGAGUCCCUUGCUACAGCUUAGCAAUCUUUUUCCUUAGGUCGUCUGCUGCAGAACAAACAUUACCAAAUUUUGAUUUGCUCCAUUGUAAAAGACCCAUUCGACAUUUAUCAGUUUUCUUUAACAAAUUAACACAAGCAUUAUCCGCAGAUGUACUUUCCCAAGAUUGUUGAAUUACAUUUUCACAAUUAUUCGCCUUUAUCCACAUGGCUUCGAACAUAAAACAUUUAAAUUUCUUCGCCUCAUUUGUAAUCUUUGAAGAUUUAAUGAAAUUCUCAAAACUAAAAACUAGAGGCAAAUGAUCAAAGAAUAUAGAGUGCACAUGCUUGAGUUUUGAAUCAGGGAAUAAGUCCACAAAAUCUUGAGUUGCACAAGUGCGAUCAAGUCUUGCUCUAAUCGUAUUUUGAUAUGUCCGACUAUGGCACCAUGUAUAAGUGAAACCUUCAUAGCCCAUAUCAUGCAGAUUACUAUCUAUCAAGGCCUGACGAAAAUUCAUGAUUUGCUAGUUAUUUCGUGGACCAGAACCUUGAAAUUCGUUUUGGCUAAAGACUUCAUUAUAAUCACCAAUACAAAGCCAGGGGAGCCAAGAUUGUGUGCUUAGUUGUCGGAGAGAAUUCCAGGAAUAUUUUCGCUUUGAAGCAUCAGGAUGUCCAUAGAAGCCAGUGAAACGCCAUAUGUAAUUUGGCAUAUGAACAUUAGCAUCAAUAAAAUUAUUUGCAAAGCGAUUCAAUGAUAUGUCAAGAUCUUUUUUCCACAGGAGAGCUAACCCACCAGAAGUGCCCUGCGCAUCCACACCAAUACCAACCAUCCAAUUUGCUACUUCAAUUUCUCCACAAAUCUACUAGAACACUUAGUUUCUAUCAAAAAAAUAAUUGAAAGUUUUUCCCUCCGGAUAAAACUCCGGAGUUCAUGAACUGUGCGGAGGUUUUUCAACCCCCGACAGUUCCAACUUAAAAGGCUCAUGAUUCUUGGCGAGGCUGGUGACCAGCCUCCGCCAUUGAUAUACCGUGUGAUGCGAUUGAACCAACUGUCUUAGAUUUCUUGGAAAGAGGAACAUCUUCCAUAUCAACAUCAUCAGAGAGGAAAAAAUUUUCAGGACGUUUCACCUUGCUGUCUAAUAACCUUUUAUGAGAAGAUUGAGCCGUAGACGACAUCAAACUUGAUUUGGGACUGUCAGUGCUCUUUCUCCGUUUGAAGGUACUAGCCAGAGACCGGAGUUUAUGGAUAUCUAAAUGUGUUUUUUGUUCUGCCAGAGGUGCAUCAACUAGGAAGAGUUCCGAUGUUUUGAGAAGAGUGGGGGAGCUGUCUGUAGUUUGGGUAUGUUGUAGGACUUUACUAGGAAAAGCUGGGGAAGUAGUUGAGAGGGUUGGAGUAGGGAUAGGAAAAUUGGGAUUCAUGUUUUCAGAUAGUUGGUAUGCGUAAGAGUGGAGGUGGGAUUAUUGGAUGUUGUAUGAAUAGGUGGCUCAGAUGAGGAGGGAAUAGGAUCAGAAAUUAUUGGGGAUAUAAUAGGGACAAUAGUUUGUAAUUGGUUACUCCUGGAUUGAAUGAGAGUCAAAUUUGGCAAUUGGCUUGAGGUAGUUAGAAAAGCAAAGAAUUUGUCCUGAAUUAUUUGGUUUUCUGGUUGGACUAUUGAAGUGAAAGAAGCUUUAGGUGCUUUGUUUCGAGUGUUGGUUUGAAUUGGUAUGUUGUUAUCCAAAGGGGCAGACGGUCUUGGUUUAUUGUGUGGUGCAACGGGGAGGCGAAAAGAGUCAUCGGUGGGGUGGGUUGAAAAAGAAGAGGGUUUAUUGGUAGUCCAUAGAGCUGCUGUACUCUUUGAUUUGGGUUGGAGAAGAUCCAAAUUAUUAGAGAUAGAGGCAGAAGAUUUACCUUUGAUUAGGUCUUGAUGUCUCUCUAGGUCAUUAUCCAAAGUUGCAGAUUGGGCAUGAUCAAACUUUGAAAAUUCAAGAUAGUCAGGUGAUGCGGAUGCAGUUGAUCUGUUUCUCUUAUCCGUUCCUUGUGGCACGCAAUUCUCGUUAUCGCUUACCGUUGCAGCUGGCCGUGAGUGUUGUUGGCCGGAAAAUGAUUUUUCCGGCUUAGCUCGAAGCCAUCCUCCAUAUUGCGAAUCACCAGUUUCAUAGGUUGCUGCAUCAAGCUUCAAUUCGCAAUCCCGCUUGCCAUGGCCAAUCCUUCCACAGUAGAAGCAUAAUAUAGGGAGCCUUUCAUAUUGAAAAAGCACCUUAUGCACCUUGCCUUCAAUGAACAGAUGCAUUACUCGCUUAAGAGGAGAUUCAAGGUGAAUCUUCACAUGGAUAUGAAGGAAUUUUCCCCAGGCAAACAAGUCACCUUUUGAUUCAAAGCCUUCAUAGGCCCCUAACUUAUUGCCAAGGUAUUCUGCUGUUUUGGCAUUCAUCCAACUCAAUGGAAGAUUAUAUACACGCACCCAAAAGGAGCAGGUGUCAAGCUAAAUGUUGGUUGGCUAGACGUUGCCGAUAUAAUCACUGAUGACCAGUAGAUUAUCAUCAAAACACCAUGGGCCACCAGAGAAAACUUUUUUCUUAUCAAGCAUGUCAUUAAAUUUAAAAAGGAAAAGGUUAUCUCCUAAUAAAGUGUGGAUGAGACCCUUGGAUGGGUUUCAAACCUUCUUUAUAGUACCCAUCAGCGCUUCACCAUUGAAUUGCUUUCUGGUAAAAAGUUUGCCUAAGAUGCACAACUCGCUUAAAGAAUCUUCAACAUCGUCCGCAUCGCCCGACAAUAAAUUUACUUCUUCUUCAUCAUCACGAAUACGCAGUUUUUCACAUAUUCUUUCCAGUUCUUUAGCCAUGGAAGCCAGGACAAAUGAUACAGUCUCGAAAGGAGCACAAAAGGCACAAGACUGCUGAAUGAAUCACGUUCUGCAAACUUGCAUGACCCAAAGGAAGUGAAAGUUUUUAUUUUUUGAAAAAAUAAAAUCAGAACAGAGAAAAACUUAUUCAUGGAAAAAAUAUGACAAACGGGAACCCAAUUGAGUGUAAGUUGGAAUGCAAACUGAUUGAAAAUAGAAUAGAAUAGUUGUUUGGGGAGGUCAAAAUAGGGUGUUGGACUUCCACUAGAAACUAGGGAAGAGAGCAACCGGCACUAGCAAGGAGAAGGCCCACAGAGAGCAAAGCGUCUCAUGGGAAGAGUUCAAUUAUGUUUGAAUUACUUAAUUAUGCUAAUGUUUGGUAUUUAUCUGAUCCACAUAAAACAAGAUUCCAAACUAACUAUUAAUUAUAUGUGUUGAUACAGUCCUUUCAUGACAAUGUAUAAAACAAUCUAUAAUUGCUACCUCUUCAAAUCAUGUUGAAAUAAUAACAAUACAUAAGGUUAGGUAAGAAUGUAUUGACUAAGAUCAAUGACCCAUUAUAUUCGAAAAAUAGUAGGUUAUUCUCUGAAAAAGAAAGUCCUUCAAUUAUAUUUUAUGAAAAUAAUGCAGUUUGUAUAACUCAAUUAAAAGGAAUAUAUAUUAAAGGAAAUAGAUCGAAAUAUAUUUCACCAAAAUUCUUUUUACUAAUGAUAUGCAAAAAAUGGUGAACUUGAUGUGCAGUGAAUUCGAUCAAGUGAUAAUAUGACAGAUUUAUUUACCAAGGUAUUGCCGACUACAAUAUUUGAGAAAUUAGUGAAAAAUAUUGCAAUGUAUCGACUAAAAGAUCUUAGUUCACGUUGGGAUCAGGGGGAGAAAUUGAAAUCAAGAAUAAUGCAUUCUCUUUCCUUUAUUUGAAUUUUUUUCACUAGAUUUUUCCUAAUAAAGUUUUAACGAGAUAUAAUAGUUGUGUAGUAGACAUCUAAGGGAAGUAUUAUGAAAUAAUUAAAUAAUUAUCGAUGUCUAAUAACGUUUGUCUUAUCUCAUAGAUUUUUGAGAUGAUAAAAUUAUCAGGACUUUUAAGGUGAUAAACUUGUCAUGACCUUAGAGAAAAUCUUAUCAUCAAUAUCUUAAGAAUUAUAGUUAUUUGAUAUAUUUUGAACUCUUUUGUACUCUCUUUAUAAAUAGUGGUCACCCCUCUCUUCUAUUAGUGAUAUAUAUAAUUCAAAAUCAUUUGACAAAAUGAAAGAUUAGUUCUACUUUUCUCUUUUCUAAAUUCAUCAGUUUUUUUUAUUCUCUUAACAUAGUGCUCACCAUAUAAACAACACAAAUCUUACAUCAUACACAAAUCCUACAUCAUCAUAUUAGUAUUAUUUUUACCAUGUGUCUAACAGAGGCAUUCAUUAAGGUAUAGUUCAAGCGUUAUAUUUUUAAAUAAUUAGAAAAUGUAAAUAAAUAUAAGGGAAGGUAGGCAAGAUUAAAUAACAAAAGUAUAUAAAUGUAAGAAAGAAUAAUAAUUAUCAGUAUAUUUAUAUAUAUGGUAGGUUAAGUGAAUAUUAGGUGUGCUAAAAAUUGCCCUAAGAGUACCCAUUAAAAAACCCUUAAUUUUACGGCACAAGUAAACUUUUUAACCACCCAACUGAAAAGGACAAAUUUAUAGACUUACUAUAGUAUUAAUUUAUAACACAAGUAAUUUUUUUUUUUUUUGGAGUAAAGUUCUCUUCCAACUAGUAUUACUAAAGCUGUGUCUGGUAUGCUGUUAGUUUUACAUGACGCUUAAAAGAUCUCAGAGCAUAUGUUUUUCGUAUUCACGGCAUUAAGCACAGGACUCAGCUUUUUCACUAGGGAAGACCAGGAUAACAUACAAGUAAAACCACUGAUACAAAAGUUUUUACUUCUUAUUUUCUGCUCUAAACCAGGAUUGACAAAUUAUGUGCUACGUUUCCUCUUUUGUACAGUUUAACCACAAAACCAGAUGCCGAGAACAUCAUAACUUUAUUAGAACCAUUGCCCCUAGAAGUAUUCAAAUUCUACGUAUGAAGGAUCACUAGAACUACUUUUGUUUUUAUCAGUUGCAAUCUCUGCCAUCUUCUUGUCUGAAUGGGCUGCCUCUUUAUUAGCAAAAUGCCCGAAAUCUACAGGUUCAGGGAUGUGGGGUGGUUGUGCACUCCUGACUAAAGCCCAGUUCACACCUUCAAAAAAUGCGUGUUGCUUUAUCUCUGUGGCGCCCCUCUUGUAUGCAAUUCUCUUGUGUGGCUCUUUAACCAAGAGCCCUCUGAUUAGAUCACGAGCUGGGAAGCUCACUUGUGGAGCUUCUGGGAAUCGUAACGGUUGGCCUACGACAUUGAACAAUGUCGCCCUAUUCCCAGACCCCUUAAAAGGAGUUGUCCCAUGCAAAAGCUCAUAUAAGAAGAUUCCAAAUGUCCACCAAUCCACUGCACUGCCAUGACCCUCACCUCGUAUUAUCUCUGGGGCUAGGUAUUCAUGUGUUCCGACAAAAGACAUUGAUCUCACAUUAGUUGGCUCGGCCAUCAGCUCUGGGAGGGCUCCACCAACGAAGAGACCAAAAUCUGAUUUAGACUUCCGAUUCUUUUUGCUAGGAAGGAUACGAGGGAGAAAAGCUGAUGGCUGCAUACAUCCAUGCACUGCAUUCUCGUCAUCUAAAAUGCCACCAGCAUUAGAACUGGCAUUUCCUGCAUGCACAGAUGAAGAUUUGACUAGUGUAGGACUGACCGAGCAACGAAGUGACAGGUCAAAGUCAGAGAGCAUAAUGUGACCCUCAUCUCUCACCAGCACAUUUUCUGGCUUUAGAUCCCUGUAGACAAUUCCCAGCAUAUGCAAAUAUUCAAGUGCCAACAGAACUUCUGAUGCAUAAAACCUACAAAAAGUUAAGACUGCAUCAGUAACAAAAUCCAUCUGUCACAGAACAACCAUCUGUAUGCUUCAAUCUGAGCAUGUAGGCAAGUCUGUGAUCUAGGUUUAAAGCGUUACUGCAAUGGAAAUCACAGCUAAUACCAUAUUUGACAAAAUUUUCCACCAGAAAAAAACAAAUAACAGUAAGAUUAAUUGACAUCUCAACUGCAAUUUAAUAAUUUAAUGAGCAGUAGAAAUUGUGCAGAAAAAAGUGCAUUAAAAGGAAAAGAUGGUAAAAGCCAGGAUUUUGUUGUAGUUCCAAAGUUAAUUACUGCAGGCACAAUUGAAAUGCAUAAAUAGUAGCACAACAAAUUACCACGUCUCUCAAAACUAUCACCAGACGGCAGUUGAAGUUUAGCUAGUGUAUGGCAGAAAACUCAGUAUUGAUGGCAUUACAACCUACAAAUGUUUUCCCUCAUCUAUUAGCAGACCACUGUUUUUCCUUAUGUCCGUUUUCGCUUCAUAUCACAUUUGGCUUCAUACUUUGAGAAGUUUUCUAGAAUUAUCAGCAAUCAAAUUGAGAAUCUCUCUCUUCAAAACACUGUUUUGGAUCCACUCUGUUUGGAGUUAUAACAUAAGCAUAAAAAUGGAAACGAAGGAAAGAAAAGAAACUUAAGCUUAAUGGAAUACACAAGAUGAGGAAGCACAAGACUUGCCUCAUUUAGGAAUUCACAACAGAAUAGAAAUGAUGGUUUCUUUCUUCACUUGGACAUUAAACAAAAUACAUAAGUAAAGGUGCUUUAACAAGUCCACAUCAUAUUCUUGUAAUUCUCAUUUUUCAGCACAAAUCUUCAUGUUCAGUUCUUCAUGAAAAAAUGUAUUAGUAUGGAGAAGGAAAUUGCUAAUAAGAUAUCUGAUCCUUUCAACAAUUAAUUCCAACUCCGAAGAGACGAAAUUUAACCAGUGGAAAGAUGCAUAGAUCUCUACAUAUUUUUCUUUAUUUUUCUUUUCUGGGGAAAAAAUUAUUUUCAGGCCUCUUGUUUUAACCCCCAUUAUGCCAUGCUGAAAAGUCCAGUGUUAAUUUCAUCUUACAAGCAUACCAGCCCUUGCAAAUAAGUAUCCUUGAUAUACUUAGUCAGCAUGGAAUAUUGUUCCAUACUAAGUACUUUCAAGGAACAAAAAACUGAGAAGCAUCAAAAUUUCAGAAAAAUGCAGAAGCAUAAGAAUCUGCCCGGUCGUAUGAAGCGAAACAAAAAAGCAUGUAAAGCAUCCUAACAGUCACACUGCUGGAUUCAUAAAGCCAAUAUGCCACAAAAUGCUGCAACUAGCAAUUCUUGGAAUAUACUUUACCUUCCUCUUUAACAAAUCUCAAAAGCUCAACCAGUUUGGCAACUUGCAGAAGCAAUAACUGGUCUAAUGCUAAGUCCACUAAAUCAUACCUCUAUGAUGUUCAGAUACCAUAGAUGGUCCACCAAGAGAUCUCACAAAAAAUGGUAAAAGCAAAAAGCAUCCGGUAGCCAUGAAAAGAGAGAUAAAUCAGUUAGUCAAUAAAUCUCACCUAGCAGCAUCCUCAGAAAAAUACUUGUUGGGCUGCUUUUGUCGAAGAGUAUGAAGAUUACCUCCACUGCAAAAUUCCAUGACCAAGCAAUAAAAUUUUUCAGUUUCAAAAUAAGAAUACAGGGUAGGCAAGAAUGGGUGAUCAAGAAGACUGAGGAUCUCCCUCUCAGUUUGAGCUCGAAGUAGCUUGUUUCGACUUGCAAGAGAACCUUUGUCCAUCACUUUCAUGGCAAAAUAAGUGUUAGUUCCUCGAAGUUCAACAAGAUAGACACUUCCAAUGUCUCCAUAACCAAGUCGCUUCAAGAGUCGAAAAUUACUAAGGCCAAGUGGAGAAUCCUUUAAAGAGACGGAAUUAAUGGCAUCCCAUCGAACAUCACCGCCAGUGUGGGGCUUAAGAUGUGUGGUGGAACUUUCUAUGCUGUCACUACGCGUGCUACUGCCACUACCCCAGCUAAUGACCAAUUGAGGACUCAUAUGAUCAUUCAUCUUGGUGGCCAUAGACAUUAUGGAUGGUCCACAAGAUAAUGUAGACAUCAGAUGCUCAGAAUGCGUCCCUGAAAUUGAGCCAUGUGCUGCACAUGUUUCACUUGGAGGAUUUAAACCAGACACGGUUACCAGAUCAACUUUUUGAACAUUCAGAGUCGAACUUGAUUUAGAUUGGAAAUUUGCAUCCAUGUGGAGGGGUCCAAAUUGUGAUUCACUACUUACAUUGAGGCUAUUCAUGUCCGUAUCUGAUUUCUUUCGUUCACAUGCAAAAUUAGAUGCUGAACUGGUAAAACCCUUGAUAUCCAGGUCCAUGUUAGACUUACUAACUGUGUGUUCUGAUGACAAGUCACUCAUCUGCACAAACAAAAGCCACGUCAAUGUUUUUACUGCCGUAAACCAAAAAAAAAAAAACACCAAAAAAAGGAAAUAGAGAUGUUCUUCCAUUUCUAAAAAGUUUGUUAAUGACUGCACUGCUAGCUGAAAUAGAGCUCAAUAAAGUGACUAGUGCACUUACAAAGGAUGGAAGAUGUAACAAAGAAAGAGGUAAAAGAAGAUAGAGAGUAGCGACAGCAUAGUGAACUUAAGCUACUGACUACCAAAAGACUAGAAUAAUUUUCUCUAAUUUUUGCUCACCACUAAAGUGGAAAAUGAUUUAGUAACUUGUCAUAAUGUGUUAUUUCAGAAGUUAAAGUCUGGCAUUUCAGUCUAGAGCAACAGGAAAUGAUAGGGAAUGAAAAAAAUAACAAAAAUAACGAGACAAAAGUGGCUAAAUAGAAGUGAUGGGAUCUAAUAGAUAAAUUUGCCAUACAAAUGUCUGCUAGAAAGAUGACAAAGAAAAGAAUGCUUUCGAACAGCUAUGAAGUAUAGACAGUGCUUCUUCUCUUUCUAUUUUUACAUCCCUUCUCUUCAUACUUUAGCACUGUAAAAUCACUUCCAAACUAACGCACACUGGUCAUUGAUCCAGGAUAUUUCUUAAGUGCAUGUGGUGCUGUGGAUGGACGUUUAUCAGAAUUCUAGUUGAAAGUGUUCAAAUAGACUGCACCUUCCACAGUAUUAUAUGAAACAAAGGAAUUCUUACUAGUUGCCCCAUAGCACGUCCCACAGAAAACAAAAAAGAAGAGAAGAACAUCAAGCACCAUAAUGACACAUUAAAAAAGGAAUAAUGUUAAGCACUUUUGUCACAAAUAGGAAUCCAAUCAGACUCCUCUCCCAAUGAAUACAAAAUAUCUAACCAGAAUAAAGUACAGUAGAAAAAUCUGAACACACAACAUCAAUGAUAUCCAUCAAUGUCACCUUACGGAAGGCAUACCGCAAUAUGAAUGAUCCACAAAAGAUAAAUUUGAAAUAGACAUGUAGAUCUGCAAUGCUAAACACGUAUGAGACUUUGUACUCAGGCUUUGAUGACAUUGAAACAAGACUCACAAAUGAUUUCGAAAAGUUGCUUGCAGAAAGUACGUGAUCAUUAUUGAUUUCAAGCUGCCAGUUACCAGGUGCAAAAUGAAUUAACACUGAUGGACGUUACCUUUAGCUUUAGACUAACUUGAGUGUCUUAAAAAAAAAAAGUGUCGACAGCAAAACAGGCAUUCAAAUGUACCUUUUUUUUCAUUUAGCAACAAUAGGCCUAACAAAAACUGGAAAUGCAAUUUGGCAGCGGCUGCAGUUCAAAAGCUAUCAUGUUGCAUGUAUAAGUUGGUGGCAAGCUGCAAUCAAAGGCAUGCUAUAAAUGAACCCGUUGGACCCGAGGGCUCCCAUCAGCAGCCACAAAGAAAAAGGGAGGGAAAAACUGCAGAAAUAACAACUGCAAAUUCAAACAGAAGCGAAGAAAAAUAGAAACGAACCUUUUUGAGGCUAAUUUAGAAUGCUACGGCCUCCCUUUGGUUCACUGCAUUAAGAGAUAUAAUCAUGCAAGGGGAAUGGAAAUUGCCGGAAGGUAGGACGUCGUAUCGGGUGAGGCCACCAUUUUGUGGAAAUGCUGCAUUCCAAUGAUAAUCAGGGAUAGAGGGGAGAGGAGGAGGAGGAGGAGGAUCGGGGGAGAAUGGUGGCAACAAUAGGUUGGUAUUGGAUCGAACACAUGGCCCAACGGCUACAACGAGGAGGGGGAAGAAGAUGUUGUUAGUUGUAUUACAACUUGAAUUUCCAUAGAAAUUGUGAUUGCUCCCGUCAUUUCUGUUUCGGUAGUUGUUUGAAAGGAGAAAUUUGUGGGAAGGAGGAGAGAGAGUGGCAGGACGACUAUAAUUAGGAUAACAAUUACUAAAAGUGGAAUCCAUUUCAAUGUGCUACAUCCCCUAAUCUUAUCUUAUAUUACAUGACUGGCUCUCUGUAAAUGCUCCACACCCUCCCUCCGUAUAUGUGAAUGCUGAUGCUGAUGCUGAUGGGAAGACAUUAUUGGAUCGCAGGAAGCAAGAGAAGAAUAAUAUAAUGUAACCAACAUUUAAUAUUUCUUUUACUAAUAUUUCCUAAAAAUAUAUUAUUACCCCUUACAAUUAGUAUCGGCAACGGCAUCACCACCACCACCAAAACAACAACAACAACAACGACAACAACGAGACGAAAGGCAUUCUACUACUAGUAAAAGGAAUUGGUCUUCGGAAUGGCAGAUCAGCGAGACGAAAGGAUCGGCGUUUAAUUUUGUCAAAGUGUGGUCGCAAUGAACUCCACCCUCACCCCUCACUACUCAUACUGUAAGGACAAAUGGGAUACUUGCGCAAAUUGAUGGGUGGGAAAAAAAGAAAAAGGAUGAUGACAGUUAUUGCCACUAGUUAUAUCAGUUUCAAGAGCAAAUUACCUCAACUUUUAAAUAGUCAAAGAUUUUAAUCAUUCAACUAUUAAUAGUACAUUUUUAUCCAUUAAAUUAUCAAAAAAAUAUAAAUUUUGUGAUAUUUCAUUUGAUUCUAUCAGAUACAAUGGCUCGCACGAUGCACGAGACAUACUAUUAAUAGUUAGAUAUGGUAGAAUUAACUAUGAAAUUAGACGGAAUGACCCAAAAUUUAGACUUUUGAUAGUUUAGUAAAUACAAACAUACUAUUAAUAGUUGAAUGACUAAAACUUAAUUAUUCAAAAAGUUUAGUUGCUGUGCGAAUAAUUUGCUCCAAUUACCCCUAUAAUUAGGGGAGAUUGCAAUUCAUCCCACGAAACUUAUAACUCACUCCUGAUAAAUGAUAAUAUAUGGGAGCGUUUGAAAAUUACAGGGGCCAACUUCAAGAGAAAAGAAUAUUUUUCAAAAUUGAGUGAGUGCAAUUGUUAAAAAAAAAAAAACUUAAAAUUUAUUGAACUUUCAUAUAUAUUCUUUAAACUAGGGAGAACUGGGGAGAGGGGGGCAAUUGUCCACUUCACCUAAAUGUUGCUCCACUACUGCCUGCUUGUGCCAAACAACAACACUAAUAAGUGCUCAUUUUCCAUGUUUUACGUGGUUAUCUAUGUGUUUUUUUGGUUUGUUUUAAUCAUAUUAGGAGUGUAUGUUCUAGGAUUUUAGUUGAGUUUUGCAUUGUGUUGUUAAAAUAAGAAAAGUUGCGUUUCUAUGGAACUAAGCGGUGAAAACUUAAUGUUUGGUAGGUUUUGAUGAUUUAAUUAUCAAUUGAAGGGAAGUGACAAGAAAUUUGUAGGAUUCUUGAUGAUUUGAAAUUUAUUUCAAAUGACAUGAAGUAUGACAGGAUCAAAUGAUGAAAUGCGACGAAGAAACAUAGAAGAAAAGAUUAGCAAAAUGACACAUUUUGAUAUUUUGGUUAUAACAUCAGUUACAGACAUUGAAUUGAAAUGAUUCUUAAACUAUUGUAAUUAUAGAGAGAGAGAGAAUGACUACAAUUUUUAUGAAGAUAUCAAAAUUAGUUUUCACGUUUUCAUUUCCAAAUAUCCAGAUCACAUAAAUACUUCUUUGUUGCUACAAUCUGAAGCAGGUUUCUGACUAGUUUAGUAUUUUUUGGUUGUAACUGAUCACGUAAACUUGCAAAUGACUUGAUUCUUGAUCCAUAGAAAAUUAACUGAAUUCGAAAUCUUUCAUUGAGGUAAUUGCACUUCAAUUCAGUGGUAAGAGAAAGCAAUGUCGCAAAUCAGUUAUGCAAGUUCAGCAAAUAUGAAUCCGUCAGUAGAUCCAUAUGGGGAUGUCGCGGAUCCAAUUGCGGGAGCAGCCGAAAACAAAGUAUGAUGGAACCUCCGGCAGGUUUGAUCGGAUCUAGGUACAGAUUCUACGUUGGUUUAAGGGGGGGCAAGAGUUUUUCCUUACUUUUAUUUCUUACUCCUCCUUGCAUAUUUUUGCAUCUCUAUAAAUACCCUUCAAAACCAAGUUUUGCAACAACUUUGGAGGGUGGAAAUAACUCACAAAAAUGUAGAUUUUAAUUAGAACUUCCUAGUUUAUUAGAUUAGUUUAAAUUAAAUAGGUUUAAUCCAAUCUUUCUUGUAUGUAUCUAAAUGUCGAUGAAGAUUGAGAAUUAAAAAUGAAGAGAUUGGAGACUCAUGCAACAAAGCUGACUUCUCUCUAAGCUGUUUAUUUCUUGCAUUGAGCUCCAGUGUUCAGUUAUAAUAUAUAAGUUGGUUAUUUACUUCCCUUUCUCUCUAAGCUCUUUAUGCCUAAGGUUUGGAUGGAAAUUUUAUGUUAUGUGUUGUGAUGUUUUCUUAGUUAUUUAAGCUUAUAAAUUGUACAAGUUAUUAAGUAGUUUUGUUAUUACGAUCAUAAUUAAUCAAUCAUUAAUUGUAAUUAUCUCAAGGUAUUAAAUGUUAUAGCAAAAGUAGAAGUUCAAUACUAACUCAUGAAAGUGCUCAAUUUAUAGAGUAUGCUUACAAAAAUAAAGGUACACCUUUGAAUUUAUAACUAGUUUUAUAACUCUAAAAGUCUAUAGGUAUUGUUGAUAUUGAUCAAAGCAAGUAUCAUGUACAUUAAAAAAAUUGCACCAUAACAUAGUUAAGACUCAAUCAACUGAUAAUUUCAGUAACAAAGAUAGUUAGGAAAUCUUAAAUCCUAUAAGCCUUUUUAUUAUUGUUUUUACUUUCUUUCGUUACAUGUUUGUAGCGUAGAUUUAUUUACUCGUAUUUGUGAUCAUCAAAAUAAUAAAGAGACGAAACAGCAUUGGUAAGUGAUUCGACCUUCCUUGUAAGACUGACAUUCGAAUUAUUCCAAUAUUCAUGUAUGAUGUAUAUACUUGCAGUAGUGAAAAUUUGAAUUUAAAUAAAACUUCACAUCAAAUACGAAAUCGAAGUUUGAUCGUAUAGGAUAACUCUGAUGCUCAAGUUAACGUAUUUACAAUCUAGAGAGAAUGGGUGGAGUUGUUAUUACCUCGACCAAGCAGGGUACAAAGGCUAUUUAAAGGUUGUGAGGAGAGAAUGUCCCAGAUGUGCGACUAUGCCAAUCUAUGUAAGAAUGCAGAUGGUGCAUGCCAACUAAAAAGACGAAGAGAUCGAGAGACACAGGGAGUUUCCAAUAAGAACUCGGGAAUGCUGAACUCCUGCGUCACGACAUGGAUUUGGGGCAGGGACGGUCAUACUGAUGACCGUCCCUGCACGGUUCAUGGUCCAGAUUGGACUUCAAAAAAAUGUGCGGCUCAGAUAACAAGUGGUAACUCGAUUUUCGCGUCAAGUGUGGGCCCACCACUAUCUGUUGUGAAAAUACAACCUGUGGAAAAAAAGUUACACGGUGAACAAAAGAAGUUACGCGCUGUUGAUGAAGAAGAAAUUUGUCAGGGACGGUUGCACCUGCAACCGUCCCUGCCCCGAGUCCGUCACGACAUAGUCCAACUUUCAAAUGUCAAGAAUAAAUGGAAAAAUUCGCAAUCUUACUUAUAUGAAGGUGUCCAAGCCUCCAAUGAACAGUGUUUUUUCUCCGCUUUCCCCUUGAUUCUGUGGUUCUUUUUUUUGUUUUUUUGGGAGGGGGGGUGGUUCUCAAUAUUUGAUUUAGUCCCUUCUUGGUUCCAAUUUUUUAAAAGUAGUGAUUUAAUUAUGAUAUUUAUAUAUUUUUUAAAUUUUAUUUUUAUAAAUUUAAAUAAUAACAAGUAUUCCCUCCGUCCCAUUUUGAUAGUCCUGUUUUCCUUUUUCGUCUGUCCCAAAUUAUAGUCCACUUUCCAAUUGAAAAAUAUAGUUGUAUUUUAAUUUUUCUAAAAUAUCCUUAUUUAAUAUAAGUUGUUGUUACUAUAAACCUACCCCAUUUAAUGAAAGUUGAUUCUUUUUUUACCAUCAAUUUAAGUUUUCAUAAAAUUGUACUCUAUUUAAUGUGAGGGUAUUUUAGGAAAAUAACAAUCUAAAUUUACUUUUCUAACAAAAUUAACUAUUUUUUCUUAAAUUGUAUAAAAAAAGAAACAGUACCUUCAAAGUGGGACGGAGGGAGUGCAUGAUUAGAGACGGAAGGAGUGCAUGAUUAGAGGAAGAUGCAAUAUAUAUUAAAAAGAGAGAUUAAAAGUAGUUUGACUUUCUCAAUACGAUAAAAUAGAACACUUGGACGGAGGGAGUAGUUAAUUGGGGAGCUCUUGGUCGGUGGAGUUUGUGCUGGACGGUGGGCUUCUGGAUUUUGGUGCUGAUUUUGUUUGAGGGGCAUUCUUGGUUUUUUGCCUUAUUAGUGGGGGCCUUUUGGUCAGUGGAGUUUCUUGUCAGGAGCUCAGGUGGCAAAUUCCGUUUGGCUUUGAAGAAGCAUUGCCCGGUUAAGCUUCUGCUGUUUCCCACGUGUUUCAUGCAAACCUCAGUGGAAUUUGCUUGGCUUAGAGCUUCGAUCGAUGGAGACUGGAGAGCUUAGUAGAACUGUAGAAGUGGCCUAACUUGCAUCGAGGCCGCUGCAUGUCAUAAUUUGUUGAUCGGAUGGAUGAGGAAUGCCAUGAUAAUGCGCUUCCGGUGAAUCUUUUGCUCUGUUGUACUUGUUCGAGCGGGGGAAAAGGAAGGAAAAAUACCGGUUUUCGUCCCCAAACUUUGGACACAAGACACAUUUCGUCCCUCAUCUUUCGGGCAUGACACAUCUGGUGUCUGAAUUAAGAAUUUUAGACCAAAUAUUAUCCUCAAACGGCAAUUUAUCCACCAUUUAACGAAACCGGUCACGUGAGAUUCACGUACCGUUAAAGCUUCUGUCCGAAAGAACCCAGGUGGAAAAGGACGUUGUCUCCACUUUCCUUGUCCAAAACCGAAUCUGAGCUCACUCUCUCUCUACAAGCUCACUUUCCCCUUUCCCUUGCCUUUCACUUUCCCUUUUCCUUUCACUUCAACGACUUCCUCUGCAAAUUUUCAAGCCUAAGCUCAAGCUCCAUCUGAAAAUUCUGCCGAGAGCAAAUCCCCUCUUCCAAAUCAAAUUCUGCCAAGAAAUAAAGUAGAAACUUGCAUAAAGCAACACCCAGCAUUGUGGCUGUAUUUCCCUAAAAUGAGAUCUAGAAAUCUUGAGUCGUCAUCGUCAUCGUCAUUAAACAGCAUUGUUAAGGUUUUAUAAAUGACUGUUUUAGUUCUUGGAUUACACCUUACCUCCAAAAUUUGGGAAUUUACCCAAAUUUUCCAUUUUCUAAUAUUCCUACAAAUAUGCAAAAUUAUGCAUAUCCCUCAAAAUUCCGCCUGCAUAAUAACGUUGAAACCCGCAAGCAAGAUUCUGUGUUUUUUCUAUUUCAAGGUUAGCUCGCAUGCGGGUUAAUGUUAUAUUUGAGCGCGAGAAGAAAAAAUUGGUAAUUAGGCUCUUUGGGCAUUAUAAGUAAAUAUUUAAAUUAAUAGCAGUUUUAUUACACCAAUAUUAUUGUAUUAUCAUUAUUAUGAUUAUUGUAUUAUUUCUUAGGCAAAUAUAACAUUUAAUUAUUUAAAUUUGAUUUUAUUUUUACAAUUUAUAAAAUUUUUAUCACUUAUAUAAUAUUUUUAAAACCCUAAUACAUCUAAAUUUGAUUUUAUUUUUCAAAUUUAUAAGAUUUUUAUUUUAAAAAAAUGGGAUACGGAUAAGAUAUCCGGUUGGUUCGAUUUGCAUAGGUGCAUAUGAGAAUAUCCGAAUACUCUUUAAACCCGCAUGCGGGUUUAAGGAGAUUAUGGCAACUCUCUGACACACUAGUUACCUGUCCAACUUGUGUGUAUUAAAAUAUAUUUAAAUAUUAUAUUUCAUAUUUUUGUUAUUUAGAGUUUAACAAAACAUUAAUAUUGGGUAGAUUUGAGGGAUAUGCAUAAUUUUGCAUAUUUGUAGGAAUAUUAGAAAAUGGAAAAUUUGGGUAAAUUCCCAAAUUUUGGAGGUAAGGUGUAAUCCAAGAACUAAAACAGUCAUUUAUAAAACCUUAACAAUGCUGUUUAAUGACGAUGACGAUGACGACUCAAGAUUUCUAGAUCUCAUUUUAGGGAAAUACAGCCACAAUGCUGGGUGUUGCUUUAUGCAAGUUUCUACUUUAUUUCUUGGCAGAAUUUGAUUUGGAAGAGGGGAUUUGCUCUCGGCAGAAUUUUCAGAUGGAGCUUGAGCUUAGGCUUGGAAAUUUGCAGAGGAAGUCGUUGAAGUGAAAGGAAAAGGGAAAGUGAAAGGCAAGGGAAAGGGGAAAGUGAACUUGUAGAGAGAGAGUGAGCUCAGAUUCGGUUUUGGACAAGGAAAGUGGAGACAACGUCCUUUUCCACCUAGGUUCUUUCGGACAGAAGCUUUAACGGUACGUGAAUCUCACGUGACCGGUUUCGUUAAAUGGUGGAUAAAUUGCCGUUUGAGGAUAACAUUUGGUCUAAAAUUCUUAAUUCAGACACCAGAUGUGUCAUGCCCGAAAGAUGAGGGACGAAAUGUGUCUUGUGUCCAAAGUUUGGGGACGAAAACCGGUAUUUUUCCGAAAAGGAAAGGCGUUGGGAUAUUCUGCAACUUAGGACUUGACCUCUUCUUCCGGUUGCUCGGCUUUUGCGCUGCUCUUCCUGUAUGUGAAUUGGAUUUUUCCUCGUUUCGUUUGGUGGUUAUUUGCACUUGCGAUUUAUGGCUCAUGAAGUUUAACUGCUUGGGAGCUGGUAUUUUUCUUCAUUAUUUGAAAUGAAACAUGUACAAUAAAAAUUUUUCAUAUACAUCUACAGUAAAGUUAUUGAAAAACUCCCACUAUUUUAAAAUGUUUAUCAAAUAUUACACCAAAAUAUUCCUUAAGAAAAAGAAAAGCUUAAAUCGACAAACAAAUUUGAUGCAAAAUUAUCUAAAUUUUCACAACUAAAAUACACUUAUGAUCAUUUUUAGCCAUGUCAAGAAUCAUUAGGUGUCAAAUUCUUUAACAUUUUAUACAUGGGAUUGCAAAAAUUUUAGAAGUCGAAAGGCCACAAAUAUAUAAACAAUAUUUGGAGGGAUAAAAUUAUACAAACUUAAUAAUUUAAAGACCAACUCGAUAUUUUGCUCUUAGUAAGUUAAACUAAAAUAGUUAACUGUUUAUAUGAUAAACGUAUAAAUGAUAAUUUGUUUGAGUACCUUGAAAUAUCAAAAAUUACACUUACCUCCCUUGCUUAUUUACGCAUUUAAUAUGACAAUACCAUGUUCACAUUUUAAUGAAUCUUUCCUUGUUUUUUCAUGUUUAUACCAAGAAUUGGUUUUAAAAUUAUUUUUGCUUUUGCUUUUCCCUUUUUAUUCCUCCCUUUUGCCAGCAAGACCACAGAAUAAUCAAUAUUGCCCCUAGUUUCUAUUGUAUUCAAAUCAAAUGUCAAACUAGUGAUCUUUUAUGACAAGUUAGCUUCGAAUGUGAUCUAAUAUUUUUGUUUACCUUUUCCUUUUUUUCUGGUAUUAAAAUCAAAGUUCAAAAUCAGUACAGCAUACUAUGGUGGUUCUACCACUCCAAAAAUCCAGAAAUACUUGAAAAAAUAAUGGCAACAAUUUCUUCUCCACCUCAUAACGAUUAAGUAGACGCGUGGCAGUUAUCAUAAAUGUGCUGGAAAUUCCCAAAAAAAAAUAUUCGGAGUUCUAGAAGCAAUUUACAGUGAAGCACAACUUUGGUGUAUAAAAAGUUUUCAAUGCCACAAUCGAUGCGCGAUUUACUUGGCUAAAUAAUAACAACCCCAAACUGCCUGAAAAAUGGUUGAAUUUUGUACACCCAACCGAAAAGUAACCCAAAGCCCAACACAACCUUCAAAUUAGGGAACAAAUUGAGCGGGUUUGUGGAUUUGGGUUUAGACUGCCAAGCCUAAAAUACUUCUCCUGAGUUGAAGCCAUACUAUUAUACAUAAACGACGAGCUACAACACCCACAAGGAAAGGCAUUUUCUAUCAACUGCUUUAGCUGCAAAAGCAAGGCCUGUGUCUGAUACAUUACACUUGCAAUGUUGUCCAGAAACUCAACCAGCUAUAGUUCACCCCGGCAUUUUGCCUAUCACGGUAAUGCUUGUAACUUACAGAAACUAUAAGCCCAAAAUGAGCUCCUAAAAAUAAGGAUAUUAACAAUUACUAAGCCAGCGGAAUUUCAUUCUCUUGCAACAGGAUCAAGA